rnacentral:piRNA from 1 species
CCCAGAGGUUAUUAUGCCUGCCACUCUGC